rnacentral:rRNA from 1 species
UACGUAGGGGGCGAGCGUUGUCCGGAUUUAUUGGGCGUAAAGAGCUCGUAGGCGGCUUGUCACGUCGGGUGUGAAAGACCGGGGCUUAACCCCGGUUCUGCAUUCGAUACUGCGGUGCUUGAGGACUGGAGAGGAGACUGGAAUUCAUGGUGUAGCAGUGAAAUGCGUAGAGAUCAUGAGGAAGACCAGUGGCGAAGGCGGGUCUCUGGACAGUUCCUGACACUGAGGCACGAAGGCCAGGGGAGCAAACGGG